rnacentral:other from 1 species
GCUACCCUGCUGUAUACGUGCAGCCUUAAAAGUUUUGAGCUAACACUGAUCAAAAGGGUUCCCAACUUUAUGUGCCGCAUAGACGCCCCGCCAGAGGGGACCUAUAGAGCAUGUAAGAGGGUACCCACCUGGGGAGAGCAGUUCAAAACGGCGGGCCCACGGUAUGGUGGGGUAUUU